GGUUGUGGCUUAGUGGUAGAGCGCCUGCCUAGCCCAUGGGAGGCCCUGGGUUCGAUCCUCAGCACCA
rnacentral:tRNA from 1 species